rnacentral:rRNA from 1 species
AUGGUAGGGCACGGAGCCGCCGAGGUGUCGCCGGAGAAGACGAAGUGGGGGCGGAUAGGGAGGCGCCAGGGGCUGCUGGCAAUGGCGCCCGUCGGGAUCGGCGCCGGCGGCUGCGGCUGCGGCUGCUCAUGGGUUCUGAUCUACGACCAGGUGGUGCCUUCAGGGACGUCGCGCCGUCGGCGGUGGGUGCCCCUGCUCCGCAUAGAGGCCGGCGGCGCCAGGGAGGCUGCUGCUACAGCUUAUAUAAGCCUGGAUGAGCAUGGAGAGGCCAGAAGGGCCAUUAAUGCACUGGUCACUGGUCAAUCGCAAGAACGAUUGUGA